rnacentral:rRNA from 2 species
GACUCUCGACAACGGAUAUCUCGGCUCUCGCAUCGAUGAAGAACGUAGCAAAAUGCGAUACAUGGUGUGAAUUGCAGAAUCCCGUGAACCAUCGAGUCUUUGAACGCAAGUUGCGCCCGAAGCCAUCCGGCCUAGGGCACGCCUGCCUGGGCGUCACGCAUAG